GUUGACCGCCUGGGGAGUACGGUCGCAAGAUUAAAACUCAAAGGAAUUGACGGGGGCCCGCACAAGCGGUGGAUGAUGUGGAUUAAUUCGAUGCAACGCGAAAAACCUUACCUACCCUUGACAUGUACGGAAGAUUACUGAGAGGUAGUCGUGCCCGAAAGGGAGCCGUAACACAGGUGCUGCAUGGCUGUCGUCAGCUCGCGUCGUGAGAUGUUGGGUUAAGUCCCGCAACGAGCGCAACCCUUGUCGUUAAUUGCCAUCAUUUAGUUGGGCACUUUAACGAGACUGCCGGUGACAAACCGGAGGAAGGUGGGGAUGACGUCAAGUCCUCAUGGCCCUUAUGGGUAGGGCUUCACACGUCAUACAAUGGUCGGUACAGAGGGUAGCCAACCCGCGAGGGGGAGCCAAUCUCAGAAAGCCGAUCGUAAUCCGGAUCGGAGUCUGCAACUCGACUCCGUGAAGUCGGAAUCGCUAGUAAUCGCGGAUCAGCAUGUCGCGGUGAAUACGUUCCCGGGCCUUGUACACACCGCCCGUCACACCAUGGGAGUGGGUUCCACCAGAAGUAGCUAGCCUAACCGCAAGGGGGGCGGCUACCACGGUGAGAUUCAUGACUGGGGUGAAGUCGUAAUCAAGGUAACCGUA
rnacentral:rRNA from 1 species